GGAGAGGUAUCGAAGUGGUCAUAACGGGGCUGACUCGAAAUCAGUUUGGCGGCAACGUCACAUGGGUUCGAAUCCCAUCCUCUCCGCCA
rnacentral:tRNA from 1 species